GGGUCCGUACCCGAGAGGCCAAAGGGAUCUGGCUGUAAACCAGAUGCGCAAGCUACGGGGGUUCGAAUCCCUCCGGGCCCACCA
rnacentral:tRNA from 1 species